AUUGAACGCUGGCGGCAGGCCUAACACAUGCAAGUCGAACGAGUGGCGGACGGGUGAGUAAUGUCUGUGAAACUGCACGAUGGAGGGAGAUAACUACUGGAAACGGUAGCUAAUACCGCAUACCAUCAGAUGUGCCCAGAGGGGAUUCGCUAGUAGGUGGGGUAACGGAUCACCUAGGCGACGAUCCCUAGCUGGUCUGAGAGGAUGACCAGCCACACUGGAACUGAGACACGGUCCAGACUCCUACGGGAGGCAGCAGUGGUGAAUAGUGCACAAGGGGCGCAAGCCUGAUGCAGCAAUGCCGCGUGUAUGAAGAAGGCCGUCGGGUUGUAAAGUACUUUCAGCGAGGAGGCGUUACUCGCAGAAGAAGCACCGGCUAACGCCGUGCCAGCAGCCGCGGUAAUAC
rnacentral:rRNA from 1 species